GAAAACAAAAAGUAAAGAAAAUGUAUAACGUACGAGACUUAAAAACAAAAAAUGGUUUAAUAUAAAUUAUCAUAAAUGACUUUAACGAAACGUAAUUAUCUUCCAUUUUCUUAUUUCCUGCCGGAUUCCCAAAACGAACACCUUAAGUGUGUUGGCCUUUGAUGCCAUUGUUGUUUUGAAUAAAAGUGAAUGAAAUGCGAGAAGAAAGGGUUGAAAGUUAAGAGAAUGGUAUAAUGUGAAGGGAGUGAGAGAACCCUUGCCAUGUUUAUAGAGACUGAGUCCUCCAUGGGUAAUCUUCGUCAAAGUUGUGAUGUAAGAACUCUUCAAGAGUUUUUGUGCAAAGUUUCUUCUUUCGUGUUCUGAUGAAGAACACACACAAAGCCUUUUACAGAGAGUUGAACGGACUCGUUUUGGUGUUUUUCUUUUUCUUUUUUUAGUCUCAUCCCUUAAGAUUCAAGAUUUUAAAUGUAGAAAAGGAUUUAUUUAGGUGAGAUUUAUUUUUGGUAAUAGAAGAUUUUAUUAGAUCAUUUAUGAUGUACCUUUGGAAAACAUAUUGUAGAGAAAAUAAAUCUUGAAUAUUGUCUUGUUUCAUAUAAAUACACCAUGUGUCAUGUGAUGAUAUAAUAGUAGCAAACUGUAUAAUAUAUAACUAUUUGACAUUUUUUCUUAAGUUCUUAAUUUUAAAAUAUUUUAUAUCAGCAUUACCAAUAUGUUAAAAUCGUAUUUACUAGAAGAGCCCAUCAUAGUCAACAUAGAUAAUCUGAGUUCAGAUUAAAGAGAUGAAAAAUAAAAUCGUGUUUAUAUAUCAACCUUACGUGUACAGACAACAAAUCUUUGUUUGGAAAGCAUAUAAUUCAAU
rnacentral:sRNA from 1 species